rnacentral:rRNA from 1 species
GUCGAGAAUCUUUCACAAUGGGGGCAACCCUGAUGGAGCGACGCCGCGUGGAGGAUAAGGUCUUCGGAUUGUAAACUCCUGUCAUGCGUGAACAAGGUUGCUUGGUUAAUACCUGGGCAAAUUGAUGGUAACGCAAGAGGAAGAGACGGCUAACUCUGUGCCAGCAGCCGCGGUAAUACAGAGGUCUCAAGCGUUGUUCGGAAUCACUGGGCGUAAAGGGUGCGUAGGUGGCGUGGUAAGUCAGAUGUGAAAGCCCGGGGCUCAACCUCGGAACUGCAGCCGAUACUGCCAUGCUAGAGUACUGGAGAGGUGACUAGAAUUCUCGGUGUAGCAGUGAAAUGCGUAGAUAUCGAGAGGAAUACCAAAGGCGUAGGCAGGUCACUGGACAGUUACUGACACUGAGGCACGAAGGCCAGGGGAGCGAACGGGAUUAGAUACCCGAGUAGUCC